UACGUAGGGUGCAAGCGUUGUCCGGAAUUAUUGGGCGUAAAGAGCUUGUAGGCGGUUUGUCGCGUCUGCUGUGAAAUUUCGGGGCUCAACCCCGAACUUGCAGUGGGUACGGGCAGACUAGAGUGUGGUAGGGGAGACUGGAAUUCCUGGUGUAGCGGUGAAAUGCGCAGAUAUCAGGAGGAACACCGAUGGCGAAGGCAGGUCUCUGGGCCAUAACGGACGCUGAGAAGCGAAAGCAUGGGGAGCGAACAGG
rnacentral:rRNA from 1 species